UACGAAGGGUGCAAACGUUGCUCGGAAUUAUUGGGCGUAAAGCGCACGUAGGCGGCUUGGCAAGUCGGAUGUGAAAUCCCUCGGCUCAACCAAGGAAGUGCAUCCGAAACUGCUGAGCUUGAGUACUUAAGAGGAUCGCGGAAUUCCCGGUGUAGAGGUGAAAUUCGUAGAUAUCGGGAGGAACACCAGUGGCGAAGGCGGCGAUCUGGGAAGAUACUGACGCUGAGGUGCGAAAGCGUGUGGAGCAAACAGG
rnacentral:rRNA from 1 species